AUUGAACGCUGGCGGCAGGCCUAACACAUGCAAGUCGAGCGGAUGACGGGAGCUUGCUCCUUGAUUCAGCGGCGGACGGGUGAGUAAUGCCUAGGAAUCUGCCUGGUAGUGGGGGACAACGUUCCGAAAGGAACGCUAAUACCGCAUACGUCCUACGGGAGAAAGCAGGGGACCUUCGGGCCUUGCGCUAUCAGAUGAGCCUACGUGGGAUUAGCUAGUUGGUGAGGUAAUGGCUCACCAAGACGACGAUCCCUAGCUGGUUUGAGAGGAUGAUCAGCCACACUGGAACUGAGACACGGUCCAGACUCCUACGGGAGGCAGCAGUGGGGAAUAUUGGACAAUGGGCGCAAGCCUGAUCCAGCCAUGCCGCGUGUGUGAAGAAGGCCUUCGGGUUGUAAAGCACUUUCAGUAGGGAGGAAGCGUUGUGUGUUAAUAGUACACAGCGUUGACGUUACCUACAGAAGAAGCACCGGCUAACUCUGUGCCAGCCGCCGCCGUAAAAC
rnacentral:rRNA from 1 species